UAAAUAUUUCCGAACCCGCUAAGUUAACUAGGAAUAUUUAACCUAGUUAAUAAGUGGGAAAAUUGUUAAAAGUAAUAAGUAGGUUGUGGCCUACUUAAUAACGAACCAAACACGAGGGGUUAAAGCGGGAUAACUAGAAAAGUUAUUUAAUAAAAACAAACACAAACACACACACACAGUGUGUGUUCUGGAUCGAGCUCAGGGGCGACCAAGAAGGGUCAAGCCCUAAUCAACACAAUUUCAUCAAAUUGAAGGGGCAAAUCAAGUCCAAAUCAAAAUCCGAGUAUGAAUUAGUGAUCUCCAUUGAAAAAGGAGUCAUGAGUUUGACUCUGACAAGCUAGGUAGGAGCUUGGAAAUGAACGGGUCAAAUGGAUAGAAUUCAAGUAUGAAGCUCGCAAGGAUGCAAGGUAAGUAUAACUUACACUAGUCAUAUAUUUUAGAAUGUUCUUUUGUCGUAUUGACUACGAAUAAGACAAAUGGUAAUUUAGUCACACGUUGACAAUAAUCGUUAGUUUUAAAAGACGCUUUCCCGCGUAAGACAUAAAGAGCCGAAAGUGGUAAUAAACGGUUUAUAAAUAAAAUGAGCAUACGGUGUUAAAAGGAGCGAGUCAUGUAGAUGAGAUGAUAAUAAAUAUUAUCUCGCAAAGAUAAACGGUCAAUUCGGCCAAACGGGUCAAA